rnacentral:rRNA from 1 species
AACGAACGCUGGCGGCAUGCCUAACACAUGCAAGUCUAACGAGACCUUCGGGUCUAGUGGCGCACGAGUGCGUAACGCGUGGGAACCUGCCCUUAGGUUCGGAAUAACUCCCCGAAAGGGGUGCUAAUACCGGAUAAUGUCUUCGGACCAAAGAUUUAUCGCCUUUGGAUGGGCCCGCGUUGGAUUAGCUAGUUGGUAGGGUAAAAGCCUACCAAGGCGACGAUCCAUAGCUGGUCUGAGAGGAUGAUCAGCCACACUGGGACUGAGACACGGCCCAGACUCCUACGGGAGGCAGCAGUGGGGAAUAUUGGACAAUGGGCGAAAGCCUGAUCCAGCAAUGCCGCGUGAGUGAUGAAGGCCUUAGGGUUGUAAAGCUCUUUUACCCGGGAUGAUAAUGACAGUACCGGGAGAAUAAGCUCCGGCUAACUCCGUG